AUGGCGGUCAGAGUUCCGUCCAUGGAGCUGAACCGCUCCCCGCCGCUCCUCUCCGGCGGCCGAGGAAAAACAUGCCUUCAGAAGCCUUUCAUUGUCCAAGCAAAGAGAUCAGGUGGAUUGGAGAAAGCAAAUACUAGGCCACGAGGACCGCAAGCUUCUGAAAAACUCAAGAAAAGAGAACCGCUGACUCGUGGAACUGUUAGCGCGCCUCUUCCGGUACCAGGACACAUACCUCGACCUCCUUAUGUUGGAUCAAACAAAAUGCCCGAGAUAUCGAGUGAGAGACAAAUGCAGGACAAAGAGACCAUCGUGCACAUGAAAGCUGCAUGUGCGCUUGCUGCUCGUGUUCUUGAAAAUGCAGGGAAAUUAGUCAAACCCUCUGUAACAACAGACGAAAUUGAUAAAGCAGUGCACAAGAUGAUCAUCGAUGCUGGAGCCUAUCCAUCCCCGCUUGGAUACGGUGGGUUUCCAAAAAGUGUAUGCACAUCAGUGAACGAAUGCAUGUGCCACGGUAUUCCUGAUUCACGAGAACUAAAGGAUGGAGACAUAAUUAACAUUGAUGUCACUGUCUACUUGAACGGUUUUCAUGGGGAUACCUCUAAAACGUUUUUCUGUGGAGAAGUUGACGAAGCUGCUAAAAGACUUGUGAAGGUUACUGAAGAGUGCAUGCUUAGGGGAAUAUCAGCCUGCAAACAUGGUGUGAGCUUUAAGAAAAUCGGCAGAAGAAUAAGCGAGCAUGCUGAGAGGCAUGGAUUUGGUGUCGUGGAGCAAUUUGUUGGGCAUGGAGUUGGCAGAGUAUUCCAUUCACAGCCAAUUAUAUAUCACCAGCGCAACAACAUGCCGGGGCAGAUGGUAGAAGGGCAGACAUUCACAAUAGAGCCGAUCCUGACCAUGGGAGGCAGCAGCAUCGAGUGCGACAUGUGGGAGGACGGCUGGACGGCGGUGACGACGGACGGCAGCCUGGCGGCGCAGUUCGAGCACACCAUCCUCAUCACCAGGACCGGCGCAGAGAUCCUCACCAAAUGCUAG
rnacentral:rRNA from 1 species